GGUUGCCUCGGAUCUGG
rnacentral:rRNA from 1 species